rnacentral:rRNA from 1 species
AAUCAACGCUGGCGGCGUGCCUAACGCAUGCAAGUCGAACGGGAAAACGGGGGCAACUCCGUGAGUAUAUUGGCGUACGGGUGAGUAACACGUGACUACCUACCUUUGAGUGGGGGAUAACCCCGGGAAACCGGGGCUAAUACCGCAUAACAUCGCAAGAUCAAAGAAGCAAAUUCGCUUAAAGAGGGGGUCGCGGCUGAUUAGCUAGUUGGUAGGGUAAUGGCCUACCAAGGCGAUGAUCGGUAGCCGGCCUGAGAGGGCGCACGGCCACACUGGAACUGAAACACGGUCCAGACUCCUACGGGAGGCAGCAGUGGGGAUAUUGCACAAUGGGCGCAAGCCUGAUGCAGCGACGCCGCGUGAGGGAUGACGGCCU